GUGGACCCACAUUUUUCACGUGCGUCCCCACUCGAUCGGCGAGACUCGCUUUUUAUUUGUGAAAAAUUGAUUUUUGAAAAAAGUUGGAGUCGCCACCUAUUUUAUUUUUAUUUUAAAGGGAAAAUAAAACAAGAAAGAAAAACCCUAAAAAGUGACUCCAUAGUUUUGGAAAAAGCAUGUCUUUGAGAAACCUGAGUCUAGGUUCGGGGAUCAGGUUACUUAUUGGGAAGGUAUCUCUAAGAGGUAGCACCCCUCUAAGCCCUAAAAAGGUCUCUACUGACUAAGUUAAGGGGAAUAUGGCAAUUAAUCGGUUAAUUAUGGAUACCUAAGUAGGCUAGGUGAUUUCAAACAAAAAUUUGCAUGUUAAACAAGAUCAAAUUGCAAUAAAGGUGAGUUAGGGUGCGUACCUGAACCGCUCUUCAAGCGCUAUCAUAAAACAUAAAAGUUAGUAUAGAAUUGUAGCACACAACAUUUGUUUUAUUCAAGCAAAUCAGGCAUAUAUCAAGAUAUCCAAGAAUCACGUCAAAUAUAGAUAUAGUCAUCAAUGGCAUACAAGUCCAUAGAGUUCUAAAAAAUAGAUGAGAAGAGAGUGUACCUGGAUGGCAAGCUAGUACUCC
rnacentral:lncRNA from 1 species